GGGCCAUACAGCAACACCGCUUUUCACAAAUCUGGGCCUCAAUUGGAUCAAGCUAGUGUCGUCUUCAUCGUUAGUCUUCUAAAACCCUCGUCGCCAUUUUCAAACUGCUCGAAUCCUCCAUCUCUCUGUUUUAGAAAACAUGCUGAAUGCUUUCAAGGCUUAUAAAGCUUGUGUUCCGAUUGCAUGGAGUCCGAACCUAUACAUAACUCUGGUCAGGGGAAUACCUGGAACCAGGCGGCUUCAUAGACGUACUUUGGAAGCAUUACGUUUAAGGAAGUGCAAUCGCACUGUCAUGCGAUGGAACACUCCUACUGUUAGAGGAAUGCUUCAACAGGUUAAGAGAUUGGUUGUGAUUGAGACAGAGGAAAUGUAUAAAGCUCGGAAACAAAAGGAUGCAGACCAUAGUGCUAUACGAGCACCACUUGUUGUAAAUCAUAUCCCUAUCUCCGCAAGUGGUUCUUCCCAGCAAUCCAUGUAAUUCAUAUGAAGUAAGUGCCUUGUUACCUGAUUAGAAGGGCUUUUGUUGAUCAAAUCGAGCAAAGAGAGUUCUUGUGUUGCUUGGGUGCUGUCUUUGUUCUAAAAACUUUCUUGUAGCUUCUUAUUAGUUCUAAGACACGUGGUUGAAAUAAUUCAUAAUGUUAUUUCUUUAUCUCA